rnacentral:lncRNA from 1 species
CUGGGCUGAGCCUGUGGUGACUUCUCAGCCCUGGUCUUGUUGGUGUGAACUGCACAGCCCACUGUGGACUUCCUGCCUUUCAGCACUGGCUCGGGACAUGGAGGCGCGCUACCAUCGCAAGCCAAGAAUGACGUGCACAUUUUUCUAGCUUUCCCGAUGCUCACAGACACUGCCAGCUUCCUGCCCACUGUCCCCUGGGGCUCCAAGGAUAAUCUCUUCAGCUGACACCCAGAAGACAGACACCCUUCAACAAAAGAUCACCCUAACAAUGUCCAGGAUCCCCAAGCCCUGCUACCUCCUUGCAUGGCUGGGUCCCAUGGCACCAACUCAGCCCCUCAGACACUUGAGUUCUGGGUUGCAAACUUCUUCUUAAACCCACGAGAAACCACCCAGCCAGGAGAAGCUGCUCUAGGGAUGGCUACAGAGAUGCUCUACAGCACCGUC